rnacentral:rRNA from 1 species
GACGAACGCUGGCGGCGUGCUUAACACAUGCAAGUCGAGCGGUAAGGCCCUUUCGGGGGUACACGAGCGGCGAACGGGUGAGUAACACGUGGGUGACCUGCCCUUAGCUCUGGGAUAAGCCUGGGAAACUGGGUCUAAUACCGGAUAUGACUCCAUGACGCAUGUUGUGGGGUGAAAGCCUUGUGCGGCUAGGGAUGGGCCCGCGGCCUAUCAGCUUGUUGGUGGGGUGANGGCCUACCAAGGCGACGACGGGUAGCCGGCCUGAGAGGGCGACCGGCCACACUGGGACUGAGACACGGCCCAGACUCCUACGGGAGGCAGCAGUGGGGAAUCUUGCGCAAUGGGCGAAAGCCUGACGCAGCGACGCCGCGUGGGGAGUGACGG